AAGGAAUAUUGGACAAUGGAGGCAACUCUGAUCCAGCCAUGCCGCGUGAAGGAAUAAGGACCUAUGGGUUGUAAACUUCAUUUAGACGGGACAAAACCCCUUUACGUGUAAAGGGAUGAUGGUACUGUCAGAAUAAGCAUCGGCUAACUUCGUGCCAGCAGCCGCGGUAAUACGAAGGAUGAAAGCGUAAUACGGAAUUAUUGGGUUUAAAGGGUGAGUAGGCGGACUAAUAAGUCAGUGGUGAAAGCCUGCAGCUUAACUGCAGAAUUGCCAUUGAUACUUUUAGUCUUGUGUACAGUUGAGGUAGGCGGAAUGUGUCAUGUAGCGGUGAAAUGCUUAGAUAUGACACAGAACACCGAUUGCGAAGGCAGCUUGCUAAGCUGUAACUGACGCUG
rnacentral:rRNA from 1 species